CAAUACAAAGGAUUAUCAAUAAUAGAAGUGGCAGUAAUGGUAUAGAAGAAAACAGUUAAAUUGCAAACAGUUGGGUCAUAUGUUUUUAUUGCAACAAUAGCACAAACGGAAGUGCAUACAAUUUUGAAGCAUACGUAAGAGUUUGAGUGAAUGAAUGGCAAUCUGCUACUGAUGAAGCUGGAAGUACCUAUAGCAUUGGACAGCACGAAGAUUAAACCUUUCAUAACAGCAUUGACUGCUUGUCAAUUUUGUGAACGCGUAGAUUAAUUUCUUGGAUUUAUUGGCAAUUAAUGCAUAUGUGAACGUACUUUUAGGCUUACUUCUCUUGACGAAAACUGUUUCUGCUUCAAAGAAAAGUACAUGGACAUAUUCUGUACAUAUACUGGCAAUGCACUAUAGUUUAAUGUUAGCUUUUCGAGACGAUAGCAAGGAAUGUGGGAAACUACUACGAAAACAGCAGAACAAAUAUAUGUGCAGUUACAUAUGUACAUACGUAUAUACUCGGAAAUAAUGCUAUAGUGGCCUUGCCAUGUAGAAAAGCAUCGAUGUUACUUCUUAGUAUCACCAUAGGCAGCUUUACCACAAUCGAGUGCCACACGUCGAAAUAAUAAAAAGAAAUAAUUGUAAACAAAUCGGAAAAGUGCCAAUUAUAGUUCCACCAAUAUUUACAAGCACACAUACAUGGGUAUGUACAACGGAACUUUCUGUCUUCAGGACAAAAUAUGAUUGGUACCUUAUUGUUGACUCUGCGUGGAACAGAAAAACAGACCCAAGCAAACAAAAACUCGUUUUUCACAAUUUUUCACAUAACCGCAAACU